CGGACUUGAGAGAGCUUGCUCUCUCAGUUAGUGGCGGACGGGUGAGUAACACGUGAGCAACCUGCCUUUAAGAGUGGGAUAACGGUCGGAAACGACCGCUAAUACCGCAUAAUAUACAUGAAUCGCAUGGUUUGUGUAUCAAAGAUUUAUCGCUUAAAGAUGGGCUCGCGUCUGAUUAGCUGGUUGGUGAGGUAACGGCUCACCAAGGCGACGAUCAGUAGCCGUACUGAGAGGUAGAACGGCCACAUUGGGACUGAGACACGGCCCAGACUCCUACGGGAGGCAGCAGUGGGGAAUAUUGCACAAUGGAGGAAACUCUGAUGCAGCGAUGCCGCGUGAGGGAAGAAGGUUUUCGGAUUGUAAACCUCUGUCUUAAGGGACGAUAAUGACGGUACCUUAGGAGGAAGCUCCGGCUAACUACGUGCCAGCAGCCGCGGUAAUACGUAGGGAGCGAGCGUUGUCCGGAAUUACUGGGUGUAAAGGGAGUGUAGGCGGGAUGGUAAGUUAGGUGUGAAAUGCGGAGGCUCAACCUCCGAGCUGCACUUAAAACUGCUGUUCUUGAGUGAAGUAGAGGUUGGCGGAAUUCCCAGUGUAGCGGUGAAAUGCGUAGAUAUUGGGAGGAACAUCAGUGGCGAAGGCGGCCAACUGGGCUUUUACUGACGCUGAGGCUCGAAAGCGUGGGGAGCAAACAGGAUUAGAUACCCUGGUAGUCCACGCUG
rnacentral:rRNA from 1 species